UUGGGAGAAAUAUGCCAACACAGGCUGUUUCACAUACUUAGACAGUACUUAUCAUGUCUACUUCGUAUAAAAUAAGGGACAAUUAGAUUACUGCUUACACACUCUUUAUCCUCAAAUACCUAAUCAAUCUUAUUCUAUAAAUAUAUUUUUGAGGCUUAUGUUCAAACAUUUUGUUUAAUAACUUAUUAGUUCUACAAAUCUUGGUUAACUUAGCAAAAAUACAUUUUAAUAAAACUAAAAAUACUCCCCCACAAACCACACAUUUUUUUCAUUUGUUAUCUGUGCAGGAGGAAACUCACAGAACGAAAGCCAACACACACAGUAUUUUUAACAUACUUUCUCAAGAGCAGAAAUUAGUAAAUUAUGUAACUCCUGAGGCAAUUUGCUUAACACAGACAGCCUCUGCCCCCUUCCAAAUAUCUAAAAAUACUAACAAUUGAGAUAUUUAACAUAGCUCUUCAAAAAUCUUUUUACACACGCUUCCCCAUCACAUUAAAAUCUAAGAGCAAAAAAAAAACA